UUGUUCCUUUUCCGCUUUAAGAGAAAGUGGUUCCCAGUCAGGCUUAGCUUUGCCAUGACAAUCAACAAGGCACAAGGCAAGACUAUUCCUAACAUCGGCGUGUAUCUACCUGAUCCGGUGUUCUCUCACAGUCAGUUGUAUGUGGCGCUUUCUAGAGCAACAGCAAGAAGAAACAUCAAGAUACUCGCUGUCAUGGAGAGACAAGGGCGGCAGUGCAAGUCUAAUAGGAAUCAAGGAACAAAGACAAGGAAUAUUGUCUACAAGGAAGUCCUUAGCAUGUAA
rnacentral:rRNA from 1 species